CCACGGAGCACUCUAGUGUACAGUAUGCGCCUCUCUGAGCUCUUGCCCGCUAAACCGUUCAAGAUAGAAUCGCAACGUGCCCACAUGCAAGCCACUUCCCUUGCUGUUUUCUCUACUCUCUUGCGGACAGACGACUGAAAGCCUGUCUGCGAGCGACAAGGGAGGGGCAGGAUCACUGUACACAACCCCCCAUCCCCCGACCACCACCACCCACCCACCCCCUCUUUAUCAGGAGCCCGCGCGCACGCGUAUUCAUCGCGGGCGUCUCUAACCUUUUGUUCCUUUUUCCUGUUCCUGCCGGAUCAGUCAUCCGCUCUCUCCGCCCGUUCGCCGCGCCCCUCUGCGUGUGUCUCGUGGCGUUUCUCCUUCGCUCUGUCUCGCAUUACUCAUCGUCUUUCCACCCGCGCCUCUUUCUUUUUAUCGUCUGCUUCAUUCAUUUUCCUUGUCUUGCUUGCUGACGCUUUCCCUCCCACCUCGCCAGUCUUUUUCAGUGACCCCUCCCUGCUUCAUCCGCCAGGCCGACCCGCCGACCACCACCAUCCCCUGCGUCCGGACUCCGACUCCUUGCCCCUCUGUUCCGACGCCCGUCAUGUUCUAUACGUACGUGGAGAAGCAGGGGGGCGGCUUCUUCGGUUGCUGGCAGACGCGCCAGGUGGCAUUUGACACAUUGCGCCGGUACCUCUACUACUCCGAGGCAGUCAGGAACGAGCUGCCUGUCGUUCACAGCCACACCCCUGAGGCGGCGGACGCCACCACCACCACUGACGAUAAUCGCAGCAGCGGUAACGUUGCUGCGGAGCCUGCACACACAGGUCGGGUCACGCCAUCAAGCGCCUCCUUGGAGUGCGCAGUCAGUGAGGUUACAGUGCCUCCGGCAAGCUUAACAUGGCGGCGCAAGUUGAAGGUCACAGGAGUGCUGCCGCUGGCCACAAGACCGGAGUUCAGCGCCGAGCACUGCCUCAACGAGCGUGACUUCUAUCAGCUCGAGAUCGAAGGCGAGUCUCGGCCGAUGGCGCGCGGUGAGACGCCUCCAGCAGGCCCACUUCUUUGCCCUGCAGCCGGUCUCUCCCAGCAUGAGCGGUCUCGCUGCAACUGGAGCAACGACGCCUACAUCCGCGACCCGUUCUUUCUGAAAGAACUUUUCGACAGUCUCCGCGACCAAUUUGAGUAUCUGGAAGCGGAGCGGGCGCGAGCGGCGGCAGCGGCAGCGGACAGUGGCGACGGCGCCGCCGACCUCACCAGCAACUCUGUCGUUGGCGUAGGCGUGCAGACGCUGGUGAGUCCUCGCGGCCCCAAGGGUGAGCUGCUGCACCAGGGUGUCGUCGUUCCGGUUCGACUCAUCUUUCGCUCUCGUGAUGAGCGAGAGUUCCGUCGGUUUUGGUAUGUGCUGCAGUCGGUACUCGGCUACGACAAGCUCAUUGUGCGACCGUACCGCGGACUGCCUCCGUACGACCCGCGAAACGGUGUCGCUUUCGCCCAUAUUCCCAUGUCCGUCUGGCAUACGUUUCAUUCGCUCGAUAAGGCCGUCUUCUACACGUUCAUGCGAGGCAACGUGUACACGCUGGGGGAGGCUUCCAGCUGUGGCACGGCGAGCAGCACUGCGGCAUUCCAUGAGUCGUCGAUGCCGGGUAGUUUCGCAAGCACGCCGAAGCUGAAGCGCAUCUUAAAAGGUGCGUACCUCUGCGUCACACAUGACUCCGUGCUGUGCAUGCGUGACACCGGUAGCAUCCCUCGCUGGCUGCGCCUUGCCGAGGUGCAGGAGUUCCACUGGAACCUCGUUGCCCGCGAUGCGGCCACCAACAUGCUUGCCCCCUUCUGCGUGUUUAUCUCAGACGAGCCGAUCCCAGAUUUGUUCUUUGAACCGCUGCCUCCGGCCCACGGCACGGAUGCGAUUGCCGCGUACACCCCACUGGUCGAUGUUCGCCGUCUCGCCUGUGUCAUUCACGACUCCUGCUUUGCCUCCCUCAGCACGCGACGAGUGAUCCGCAUGAGGGAGGUGCGGGACGCAUCGAUGGAGUCCUACGUUGCCCGCACCGUGCAGGAGGGCCAGCGGCGGCCUGUCUUGGAACGUGGGGCGGGGCACAACAGCACGCUCAGCUGCCCUCUGCCAAAGGAGCAGCUCGCCACGGUGUGGCAGCAGGUGCAGGCGGAGCUGCUGGAGCGUGGCAAUAUGGCAAACCGUGCUGCCAUUCCCAUCUACGCCAGCAACGCCAGAGACGUGGAGCUCUCCGAGGACCAGCUUUCAGCGGUAGAGCGCGCACUGGACGACACACGAGAGCGGCGCGACGACAUCGUGGGCAUGCCGCUCGAGCGCGCCAGGCAGCUGGAGCGGCAGGGCAGGGCAGCCGCCGCCGUCGUUACACGCGCAAAUAGGCUUCGCCAGCGGCACCGAGACGACACCGUCGGCGCGCAUAGGGACCCAGCCCCGGUACUUGUCCGUGCGUCUGCUGCGCGUGAAGGGACAUCUGCUGCGACGCCAUCCACGGCGACAACGGUAGCGCGAGUGGCGCCUCUCACUAUGGAGCUGCUGCAGACGCCCCAAAUCCAAGGCCACUUUGCGCGCGGCACUGCAGACGGGCAGGCUGUGCAAGCGUCGCAGAGUGAUGAGGGUGACGCGUCCAGUGCGCAGAGCAAGAGCUGCAGUGAAUCCACCGUCGUGGCGAGCGAGUACUCGAGCUACUUGGUCCCUGGUGCACGCUACAUAUCCCAGGAGGAGUGGCAGAGCGGGGCGUAUGCAACCGCCUACUCUGCGCUCUCCGCUGAUCGCGCAGCGGACGUCCCUCGUCACUCAGCUGCGGCUGUUGGGGCAGAUGAAAGCGCAGCCUCGACGAACAAGACUGCUAUUGCAGCAGCAUCGCCGCCGUACGCUGAGGAGCGCACCCUGAACGAGAUUAUCGGUCGCAGUAUGGCAGCCCUGGAGGAAAGCCGCACCGACCUCCAUCACCUGGAUCCGUGAGACCAGAAAAGAAAGAGGAGAGAGCAGGGCGAACACGCAAAGCAGGAGUGGGUGCACAAGCGGCGGAGCAUCCAAGGCAGGCCGAGAGACACGCCGUGAUUCGCCAGAUCAAGCCUCAAAAGGUUGCCUACUUGCGUGUUUUUUUUUGUUGUUGCUUUUCUGUUGGGAUGCUGCGUCUGUGCAUAUUGCUUCCGCGACGUCGGCGUAGGACCGGAUCCUCAUAGACAUGUGCGUGCACAAGACGCACGCCGUUGCCUCCAAACGCGCCUGCUCACAUGUACAGGAAAUGGACGUCGUGCAACGUCCCGGGCGAAUCGACGCUCCACCGGCGUUCCCGGGCGUGUUUCGGUCGACGUCUUGCGUCUUGCACGUUCGUUUUCCGUCUCUCGCCCUCUCUCUUGCCUCUCUGCUGCCCUUUGCCCGUUGGCGUGGGCGCGUUGGCCCUCCUUUCCUGGCCCCUCAUCCUCCACUCACGUCUUUUUCGCAC
rnacentral:misc_RNA from 1 species